rnacentral:rRNA from 1 species
UCCAUGUGUAGCGGUGAAAUGCGCAGAGAUAUGGAGGAACACCAGUGGCGAAGGCGACUUUCUGGUCUGUAACUGACGCUGAUGUGCGAAAGCGUGGGGAUCAAACAGGAUUAGAUACCCUGGUAGUCCACGCCGUAAACGAUGAGUGCUAAGUGUUAGGGGGUUUCCGCCCCUUAGUGCUGCAGCUAACGCAUUAAGCACUCCGCCUGGGGAGUACGACCGCAAGGUUGAAACUCAAAGGAAUUGACGGGGACCC